AUGAUCAAAUUGACCUCUCUAGAGUGCUAGCUCCUUGCAGAGAUCCUUGAAGGCUGAUCAAUAGAGGAGGAAAGAAUUGAUAGAAAAAGGCAAGGGAGAACUCCUUCUCGCUUGAUUUUUCUAUCAUCCAAAUCCCUAAGAAGGAACCCAAAGACCCCACGCCCUUUGAGAGGAGACCCCUCUCCUCUUUUUCUCACUAUAUUGGGGCAUCCAACUAUUGGACCCCUUAUACAGGGAAGAGGGAAUUAGGGCUUAGAAGGAGGCCCACUUAAUAAAACCCACGCC
rnacentral:lncRNA from 1 species